rnacentral:rRNA from 1 species
CAGCCGCCGCGGUAAUACGUAGGUGGCAAGCGUUGUCCGGAAUUAUUGGGCGUAAAGGGCUCGCAGGCGGUUUCUUAAGUCUGAUGUGAAAGCCCCCGGCUCAACCGGGGAGGGUCAUUGGAAACUGGGAAACUUGAGUGCAGAAGAGGAGAGUGGAAUUCCACGUGUAGCGGUGAAAUGCGUAGAGAUGUGGAGGAACACCAGUGGCGAAGGCGACUCUCUGGUCUGUAACUGACGCUGAGGAGCGAAAGCGUGGGGAGCGGACAGGAUUAGAUACCCCAGUAGUCCCUGUCUCUUAUAA